UAUGGCACAAGAGAUUUCUUUUUAUGUAAUUUCUUUUUGUUUUCAGUUUAAAAAAAUGAUACGUAUCCUGCAGGUCCAAAAUUAUUGGCACACUUGAUAAAGAUGAGCAAAAAAAAGACUAUAAAAUAAUAAUAUUUGUAUUUAUUUUAUUUUAUUUUAUUUCACCUUUAUUUAACCAGGUAGGCUAGUUGAGAACAAGUUCUCAUUUGCAACUGCGACCUGGCCAAGAUAAAGCAUAGCAGUCUGAACAGACAACACAGAGUUACACAUGGAGUAAACAAUUAACAAGUCAGUAACACAGGAAAAAAAAGAGAGUCUAUAUACAUUGUGUGCAAAAGGCAUGAGGAGGUAGGCAAAUAAUUACAAUUUUGCAGAUUAAUACUGGAGUGAUAAAUGAUCAGAUGGUCAUGUACAUUGUAGACAUAUUGGUGUGCAAAAGAGCAGAAAAGUAAAUAAAUGUAAACAGUAUGGGGAUGAGGUAGGUAAAAUUGGGUGGGCUAUUUACCGAUAGACUAUGUACAGCUGCAGCGAUAUACUGCUAGCUCGAAAUACUGAGCUAUUGUAUGCUCAAAAACAUUUGAAAAUGAUGUUGUUUUAUUGUUCAGAGAAAUACAUUUAGUUUAACAAGUAAUAUAUUUAUUUUUUUAAAGAUAGGGGUCAAAAUUAUUGUCAUCCCUGUUUUCAAUACCUCACCUUGCGAGGAUAAUGACACUGAGCCUUUUUCUAAAAUGUUUUAUGAGAUUGGAGAACACAUCGGGAGGGAUCUUAGACCAUUCCUCCAUUCAGAAUCUUUCCAGAUCCUUGAUAUCCUUUGUCUGUGUUUAUGGACUGCCCUCUUCAAUUCAAACCACAGGUUUUCAAUGGGGUUCAAGUCAAGAGACUGAGAUGGCCAUUGCAAAAUAUUGGUUUUGUGGUCAAUUAAUCAUUUAUUUGUAGAUUAUGAUGUGUUCUUGGGGUUAGUGUCUUGCUGGAAGAGCCACUUGCAGCCAAGUUUCAGCCUCCUGGCAGAGUUAACCAGAGCUGCGUGCGAAUACCCAUACUAACAUACGUAUACUGCACACUUAAUGAGUAUAUACUACAUAGUUAAUUUUAGUAUACUGUAAACGAACAGUAUGCUUUCAGUUGAGCAUACUGUCUCUUCACUUGUCUACCGGAAGUUGAUGCUGUUGCUAUGCAACCUCUUGCUCGCUAGUUAGCAUAACAAAUGACUAGCUAAACAUUUUACAACUUUGGGUGUGUUCUUAAAUUCAAUCUGGAGUGCCAGAGUGCACUUGUAAAUUCAGAGCGUAGUCAGAUUGUCUGUUUGUAAAUUCAGAACUUUCGCUCUCGGAGCGCACACUGGACACUCCAGCCUUUGGCUUUCUGAUCUUAUGGCAGUCAAACACCCAAGCUAACGUUGGCUAGCUUGCUAGCUACUUCCAGACACAAAUGAGACCACUCUGACCAUUUUACUCGCCCUAGCAGAGCUGGUUAGGCAGUUUUCCAGAGCGUUGGUGACUGUAACUGUGACUGUAAAUUACGCUCUUUUGCUGAAGUUUACUGACACCAGUCAUAUUCAAUGGGGGUUGAGCGCUCAUAAAUUCAUUACACUCAGAGGAGAGUGCUCUGAAAUCAGAGUACUGUAGAUAGUCAGAGCGAAUUCCGGUGAGAGUUUACUUGGCCCAAAUGUAUUUCUUGGGGCUCGGCGGAUUGGGACCACUCUCUGGCAGAUGAGGGCUGCUUUAAAUAAUUAACAUUUCAUUAUUUAUUUUUCCAUGUUUUCUAAUUGUUUCUGUGAUCAAAAAAUACAAUUAACAUUUAAAUGAAAUUCUUUAAGAGUCCUGUGUAGUAUUUUAGAAUUUUUAUACUUUGUGCAAGGCAAUUGAUAAGCAUUAAAAACUUUGUGGAUGGAGCCUCCCUGUAACAUCUGCUUUCAACUCACUCUCAAACACGUAGAUCCCCUGGACACAGCUCACUUUCCAGUCCACUUUCCAGCUCACACUCUCAAGCACAUAGAUCCCCUGAACGCAGCUCACUCUCCAGAUCCUAAUCACCUGAAUUUUGAUUACCUGUUCACACACUUGUAUGUCAUUAUCACACAUUAUAUAGUUCAGUUCUUUGCAUCCCCGUCAUUGUGAGGUAUUGUUUGUUUUGUGACACACUUCUAUUCGGAGCUCUGUUUUUCCCGUGAUUUACUCCUCCUGUGUAUGAUAGUUUCUGCCUGCCUCACUAACAAUGCCUUUUGCCUAUUCCCUGCCUGUACUUUAGCCUAUCGGAUUUCCUGUUAUCAACCUAUUGCCUGAUCUCCCGGAUGACGUUACAAGCCUUUUCCAUGCCUGUACUAUUGCCUUUUUGGACCCCCUGUGUAUGACCUUCUGCCUGCCCCUGGACCCAGCUACCUGCCUCCUCAUGUGGUCCUUUACCAAUAAACACCUGCUGCGCCCUGCGCUUGAAACCAGCUCUCUGUCUCCCUUUGUGUUCAUUACACUCCCGAGUAGCACAGCAGUCUAAGACACUGCAUCGCAGUACAAACUGCGUUGCUACAGAUGCUGUCUCGAGUCCCGUGCUUGCCACAACCAGGAGACCCAUGAGGCGAUGCACAAUUGACACAGCAUCGUCUGAGUUAGGGGAGGUCCUGCGGGCCAGGCGCAUGCCCGCUGACACGGUCACCGGGUGUAUGGUGUUUCCUCAGUUUUUGUGGAUGGGUAUACUUUGUAUGUAUAAUAGUAGUAUUUAAAAUGACUAAAUUGGGUAAUUUUGUAUACAUUUAUUUAAAUUUGCAUCGGACAGCUUCUGGGGAGAUUCUGGUAAGAUGUUAGCUGAAUUUGGGUAGAGGAAACGGCCCGAUGUACUUGGGCUGAUUCUGGGCAGUCAUUCAUUUUGAUUCCGGGCCGAGUCCGACACCCUAAUUCUGGGCGAAUUCAAUCAGUUCCGGCCUCCCAGAAGAGGGCCGCUUCUGGGCCGAUUCCUCAUUGCUAGCUGGGAUUCUGCUGUAACGAUAUGCUAUGUGGUUCGUAAUGACAGCAUAGCUAACAAAUUGUCAGCCAACAUAACUCGAAAUUGACUCAACAUAACUCGAAAUUGAGCCCAGGUGCAUACUGUUUCCAUUGAUCAUCCUUGAGAUGUUUCUACAGCGUGACACGCUCAUGGGGAUGGGCGAUCGUACACCUUGCACCUUCGUGCAGAAAAGACAGAGAGGGCUGUCUUGCUUCUAGUCCUUGGGAAACUUUGCAGCAUUUAGUUUUUUCUUACAUUGUUAGCCCAGAAAAUCUUAAGUGUUAUUACAUAGAGCUGGGAAGAACUAUGGUAAAAAUUAUAUAGGUAAAACAAAGCGCAAAUUAAAAGUACGUAUCUCAGAGCAUCAUAGCACCAUUAGGUGUAAAAACUUUACUUACCCAGUUGCGGCCCACUUCUUGGAGGCAGACCACUCUAUUUCGUCUCUGCAUUAUAUUGGCAUCGAACAUGUCACCCUCCCUAGGAGAGGGCGUGACCUUGAUAAUUUAUUGUUAAAACGAGAGGUUGCCUGGAUCUUUAACUUAAAGACCCUUGUUCCCCCUCCUUCCCUUGUUCGGUCUCAACGUAGACUUUAAUCUGAAGCCAUUCUUGUGAUUAUUGUGACUUUGCCAUUGUAAUUGUUUGUAAGCUUGUGUAGUCAAAUUAAUCUAUGAUCGUAUGCUAUCCAUUUGUUGUUUGUAUGCUGUUCUUUGUAUGACAUUUUAAUAUUUGAUUAUUAACCAAUGAUAUUAGGCCACUCUUGGCCAUGAUUACAGACACUUGUGUCUUUUGACACUAUAUAAACGAGUCAUCCCGCAGUGUUUGUGAUUAUACCCUGAUGAAGACAGCUUGGCUGUCGAAACGUUGGAAAUCAAAUUUGGCAUCUGAGCUCCUAGUGUGCGGCUCUCUUUUAUUUUCAAGUUUUCUACCUCGUCUUAAUAGGUGUGCGUUUCUUUUUCUUCAAGAACUAUAGGAUAUCAGAGUGACGUCAACUUACCAGCACAACGACCAGGAAUACAACUUUCCUGAAGGGGAUCCUUUGUCCGCACCACCCAGGGCAUUUUAACUAAUUCCAGAGGCCAACCCAAAACAAUGCCGCCAGACAAGAGGAAGACGGAGCGGUCUUCUGGUCAAACUUCAGAGGCGUGCACACAACCCACUGCUCCCGAAUAUAUUACUCGCUAAUGUCCAGUCCCUAGAUAACAAGGUCGACAAAAUCAGGGCAAGGUUUGCUUUCCAGAGAGACAUAAGAUAUUGUAACAUACUCCGUUUCACGGAAACAUGGCUCUCUUGGGAUAUGCUGUCGGAGUCGAUACAGCCACCUGGCUUCUCAGUGCGUCACUCCUACAGGAAUAAAUAUCUCUCCGGGAAGAAGAAGGGGCGGGGGUGUAUGUUUCAUGAUUAACGACUCAUGGUGUAAUUGUAACAACAUACAGGAACUCAAGUACUUUUGUUCACCUGACCUUGAAUACCUCACAAUCAAUUUUGAUCACGUGGACCGGGAUUUGUUCCGGGUAGGCUCUGAGAAUAAUACCGCCAUAUACGCUGAUUUGGUGAGUGAGUUUAUAAGGAAGUGUAUAGGAGAUGUUUUACCUACUGUGACUAUUAAAACUUACCAUAACCGGAAACCGUGGAUAGAUGGCAGCAUUCCUUCUAAACUGAAAGCGCGAACCACCGCAUUUAACCAUGGACAGGUGACUGGGAAUAUGGCAGAAUAUAAACAGUGUAGUUUUUCCCUCCGCAAGGCAAUCAAACAAGAAAAAUGUCGGUAUAGAGACAAAGUGGAGUCGCAAUUCAACGGCUCAGACACGAGAUGUAUGUGGCAGAUAAUCACAGACUACAAAUGAAAAACCAGCCACGUCACGGACACGGACGUCUUGCCUCCAGACAAACUUAAUACCUUCUUUGCCCGCUUUGAGGAUAAUACAGUGCCACCGACGCGGCCCGCUGCCAAGGACUGUGGGCACUCAUUCUCCAUGGUCGACGUGAGUAAGACAUUUGAACGUGUUAACCCUGGCAAAGCUGCUGGCCCAGACGGCAUGCCUAGACGCAUCCUCAGAGCAUGGACAGACCAGCUGGCUGGUGUGGUUACUGACAUAUUCCAGUCUGCUGUCCCCACAUGCUUCAAGAUGGCCACCAUUGUUCCUGUUCCCAAGAAAGCAAAGGUAACUGAACUAAAUGACUAUCUCCCUGUAGCACUCACUUCUGUCAUCAUGAAGUGCUUUGAGAGACUAGUCAAGGAUCAUAUCACCUCCACCUUACCAGUCACCCUAGACCCACUUCAAUUUGCUUACCACUCCAAUAGGUCCACAGACGAUGCAAUCGCCAUCACACUGCACACUGCCCUGUCCCAUCUGGACAAGAGGAACACCUAUGUAAGAAUGCUGUUCAUUGACUAUAGCAUUCAACACCAUAGUACCCUCCAAGCUCAUCAUUAAGUUUGAAGCCCUGGGUCUCAACCCCACCCUGUGCAAUUGGAUCCUGGACUUCCUGACGGGCCGCCCCCAGGUGGUGAAGGUAGGAAACAACAUCUCCCCUUUGCCGAUGCUCAACACUGGGGCCCCACAAGGGUGUGUGCUCAUCCCCCUCAUGUACUCCCUGUUCGACCAUGACUGCGUGGCCAUACACGCCUCCAACUCAAUCAUCAAGUUUGCAAGCGACACAACAGUAGUAGGCUUGAUUACCAAGAAUGACGAGACAGCCUACAGGGAGGAGGUGAGGGCUCUCGGAGUGUGGUGUCAGGAAAAUAUCAAAUUAAAUCAAAGUUUAUUUGUCACGUGAGCCGAAUACAACAGGUUACAGUGAAAUGCUUACUUACAGGCUCUAACCAAUGGUGUGGGGAAAAAAAGUGUGUGUGUGUGUGUGUGUAGGUAAGUAAAGAAAUAAAACAACAGCAAAAAGACAUUUGAAAAAAGAGUAGCAAGGCUAUAUACAGACACCUGUUAGUCAGGCUUAUUGAGGUAGUAUGUACAUGUAGGUAUUGUUAAAGUGACUAUGCAUAUAUGAUGAACAGAGAGUAGCAGAAGCGUAAAAAGAGGGGUUGGCGGGUGGUGGGACACUAUGCAGAUAGCCCAGUUAACCAUUUGGUUAGAUGUUCAGGAGUCUUAUGGCUUGAGGGUAAAAACUGUUGAGAAGCCUUUUUGUCCUAGACUUGGGUCUUGGGUGAACAAGGAGUACAGGAGGGGACCGAGCACGUACCCCUGGGGAGCUCCAGUGUUGAGGAUCUGCAUGGCAGAUGUGUUGCUACCUACCCUCACCACCUGGGGGCAGCCUGUCAGGAAGUCCAGGAUCCAGUUGCAGAGGGAGGUGUUUAGUCCCAGGAUCCUUAGCUUGGUGAUGAGCUUUGAGGGUACUAUGGUGCUAAACGCUGAGCUGUAGUCAAUGAACAGCAUUCUCACAUAGGUGUUUAUUUUGUCCAGGUGCGAAAGGGCAGUGUGGAGUGCAAUAGAGAUUGCAUCAUCUGUGGAUCUAUUUGGGCGGUAUGCAAAUUGGAGUGGGUCUAGGGUUUCUGGGAUAAUGGUGUUGAUGUGAGCCAUUACCAGCAUUUCAAAGCACUUCAUGGCUACGGACGUGAGUGCUACAGGUCUGUGGUCAUUUAGGCAGGUUCCCUUCGUGUUCUUGGGCACAGGGACUAUGGUGGUCUGCUUGAAGCAUGUUGGUAUUACAGACUCAAUCAGGGACAUGUUGAAAAUGUCAGUGAAGUCACCUGCCGGUUGGUCAGCACAUGCCCCGAGCACACAUCCUGGUAAUCCGUCUGGUCCCGCAGCCUUGUGUAUGUUGACCUGUUUAAAGGUCUUACUCACGUCGGCUACGGAGAGCGUGAUCACACAGUCAUCCGGGGAACAGUUGAUGCUCUCAUGCAUGCCUCAGUGUUGCUUGCCUCGAAGUGAGCAUAGAAGUGAUUUAGCUCGUCUGGUAGGCUCGUGUCACUGGGCAGCUCUCGGCUGUGCUUCCCUUUGUAGUCUGUAAUAGUUUGCAAGCCCUGCCACAUCCGACGAUCAUCGGAGCCGGUGUAGUAUGAUUCAAUCUUAACCCUGUAUUGACGCUUUGCCUGUUUGAUGGUUCGUCGCAGAGCAUAGCGGGAUUUCUUGUAAGCUUCCGGAUUAGAGUCCCGCACCUUGAAAGCGUCAGCUCUACCCUUUAGCUCAGUGUGAAUGUUGCCUGUAGUCGAUGGCUUCUGGUUGGGGUAUUAACCUACAGUCACUGUGGGGACAACGUCCUCAAUGCAUUUAUUGAUAAACCCAGUGACUGAUGUGGUGUAUUCCUCAAUGUCAUUGGAAGAAUCCCGGAACAUGUUCCAGUCUGUGAUAGCAAAGCAGUCCUGUAGUUUAGCAUCUGCUUCAUCUGACCAUUUUUUUAUAGACCGAGAUACUGGUGCUUCCUGCUUUAAUUUUUGCUUGUAAGCAGGAAUCAGGAGGAUAGAGUUGUGGUCGGAUUUACCAAAAGGAGGGCGAGGGAGAGCUUUGUACGCGUCUCUGUGUGUGGAGUACAGGGGAUCUAGAUUUUUUUUCCCUCUGGUUGCACAUUUAACAUGUUGAUAGAGAUUUGGUAGAACUGAUUUUAGUUUCCGUGCAUUAAAGUCUCCAGCCACUAGGAGCGCCGCCUCUGGGUGAGUGGUUUCCUGUUUGCUUAUUUCCUUAUACAGCUGACUGAGUGGGGUCUUAGUGCCAGCAUCUGUCUGUGGUGGUAAAUAAACAGCCAAGUAAAGUAUAGCUGAGAACUCUCUAGGCAAGUAGUGUGGCCUGCAGUUUAUCACAAUAUAGACUUCCUUAGAUUUCGUGCACCAGCUGUUGUUUACAAAUGUCUUGAUAUCCAGAAUCUCUUUUCUUCCGUAAUAUACGGUUGCAGAAACACUAUGUACAAAAGAAUGUACAAAUAUUGCAAAAAAACCCACAUAAUAGCACAAUUGGUUAGGAGACCGUAAAACGGCGGCCAUCUCCUCUGGCGCCAUCACCUAAAAACCUCUCACUCAACGUCAACAAAACAAAGGAGAAGAUUGUGGUCUUCAGGAAACAGCAGAGGGAGCACCCCCCUAUCCACAUCUAUGGGACAGUAGUGGAGAAGGUGGAAAGUUAAGUUCCUCGGCAUACACAUUACUGACAAACUGAAAUUGUCUACCCACACAGACAGUGUGGUGAAGAAGGCGCAACAGUGUCUCUUUAACCUCAGGAGGCUGAUGAAAUUUGUCUUGUCACCUAAAAACAUACUCUUUUACAGAUGUACAAUUGAGAGCAUCCUGUUGGGCUGUAUCACCGCCUGGUACUGCAACUGCGCCGCCCACAACCGCUGGGUUCUCCAGAUGUCUCUGAAUGUCCUUGAGUGGCCCAGCCUGAGCCCGGACUUGCUCCCCAUUGAACAUCUCUGGAGAGACCUGAAUAUAGCUGUGCAGCGAUGCUCCCCAUUGAACCUGACAGAGCUUGACAGGAUCUGCAGAGAAGAAUGGAAGAAACUCCCCAAAUACAGGUGUGCCAAGCUUGUAGCAUCAUACCCAAGAAGACUCGAGGCUGUAAUCGCUGCUUAAGGUGCUUCAACAAAGUACUGAAUAAAGGGUCUGAAUACUUAUGUGAAUGUGAUAUUUCAGUUUUGUAUUUUUUAUACAUUUGCAAAAAAUCAAACAACCUGUUUUUGCUUUGUCAUUAUGGGGUAUUGUGUGUAGAUUGAUGAGGUAAAAAAAAACAAUUAAAUCCAUUUUAGAAAAAUGCUGUAACGUAACAAAAUGUGGGAAAAGUGAAGGUGUCUGAGUACUUUCCGAAUGCACUGUAUGUCAACAUAUAGCUCAGCAUUUGUAUUAUUUAUUUUAUAGUAUUGUUUUCUUAUCUUUAUCAAGGGUUCCAAUCAUUUUGGACCUGACUGUAUAUCUUUUCAGUUAUUGUAGUUAUUGUAAAAUAUAUGCAUAAUGUACAUUGAUGAUUUACAUAAUUAAGUGACACUGAAUAUUACAGUUUCCUUUACCAGUAAAAUAAUUGGAACAACCAAAUGAAUAACAUUUUAUAGAUGUAACUUUAUUGAAAUGAAACAUGUUCAUAACAAUCCAUCCCACUGUUUUGUUUUUAUUGAUUUGCAACACACAAUGAACACUAACUAACACAAGAUGACUAUCAAAGCUCUCUCUGUAUCUAAAAAGACUUCUAUUAUCAUGCAAGUCUUUAUCAGCUGGGCAGUUAACUUGAAAGUCCCAGGUGAAACAUAUGAAACAUACAUAACUUCUUCUCAUUGGACCAUAUUAGUGGUCAUGGCACAAAGCCGGCCAAUAGGGACUGUCCCUCCAGGGGUCUCAAUGGUCAUUGGUUGCUCAUGGCAAUGAUGCAAAGAUACAAGUCUGACACUAUGGUUCAUGUAUAAUUUAUCCAAGACAAUUAUUUUUUAAAAUAUUUUUUUAAGGAGGUAGAUCAGCUAUGAAAUUAGCAGAUAGAAUCGAUGUCUCCCAAAUAACAUGACUUACAUAAUUUCUAAUCUCCCUUUAUACAGUGAAUUCGGAAAGUAUUCAGACCUUUUCCACAUUUUAUUACAUUACGGCCUUAUUGUAAAAUUGAAUAAAUCGUCCCCCUCCCCCCUCAUAAAUCUACACACAAUACACCAUAAUGACAAAGCAUUAACAGGUUUUUGCAAUUUAAAAAAAUAAUUUAUAUAUUUUAAAAAAAUGUAUGUAAGUAUUCCGACCCUUUACUAAGUACUUUCCCCUUGGGUUGUGCCAUGGCGGAGAUCUUUGUGGGCUAUACUCAGCCUUGUCUCAGGAUGGUAAGUUGGUGGUUGAAGAUAUCCCUCUAGUGGUGUGGGGGCUGUGCUUUGGCAAAGUGGGUGUGGUUAUAUCCUUCCUGUUUGGCCCUGUCCUGGGGUGUCCUCGGAUGGGGCCACAGUGUCCCCUGACCCCUCCUGUCUCAGCCUCCAGUAUUUAUGCUGCAGUAGUUUAUGUGUCGGGGGGCUAGGGUCAGUUUGUUAUAUCUGGAGUACUUCUCCUGUCCUAUACGGUGUCCUGUGUGAAUUUAAGUGUGCUCUCUCUAAUUCUCUCUUUCUUUCUCUCUCUCUCGGAGGACCUGAGCCCUAGGACCAUGCCUCAGGACUACCUGACAUGAUGACUCCUUGCUGUCCCCAGUCCACCUGGCCGUGCUGCUGCUCCAGUUUCAACUGUUCUGCCUUAUUAUUAUUUGACCAUGCUGGUCAUUUAUGAACAUUUGAACAUCUUGGCCAUGUUCUGUUAUAAUCUCCACCCGGCACAGCCAGAAGAGGACUGGCCAACCCACAUAGCCUGGUUCCUCUCUAGGUUUCUUCCUAGGUUUUGGCCUUUCUAGGGAGUUUUUCCUAGCCACCGUGCUUCUACACCUGCAUUGCUUGCUGUUUGGGGUUUUAGGCUGGGUUUCUGUACAGCACUUUGAGAUAUCAGCUGAUGUACGAAGGGCUAUAUAAAUACAUUUGAAUUUGAAAAGGACCAUUUGUGAUGUUUAUGGGACAUGUUGGAGUGCCAACAAAAGAAGCUCGUCAAAGGUAAGGCAUGAUUUAUAUUUUUAUUUCUGCGUUUUGUGUCGCGCCUGCAGGGUUGAAAUAUGUUUUCUCUCUUUGUUUACGGAGGUGCUACCCUCAGAUAAUAGCAUUGUUUGCUUUUGCUGAAAAGCAUUUUUGAAAUUUGACAUGUUGGCUGGAUUCACAACACGUGUAGCUUUAAUUUGGUAUCUUACAAAUGUGAUUUCGUGAAAGUUAGAUUUUUAUAGUAAUUUAUUUGAAUUUGGCGCUCUGCACUUUCACUGGCUUUUGGCCAGGUGGGCUAGCGUCCCACAUAUCCCAGAGAGGUAACCUCCAGACGAGCUUCAAUGCCGUACAACUCUCCUCCAACUGCUGUUAAAUGCAAGUAAAACUAAAUGCAUGCUCUUCAACCGAUCGCUGCCCUCACACACCUGCCGUCCAGCAUCACUACUCUGGACGGUUCUGACUUUGAAUAUGUGGACAACUACAAAUACCUAGGUGUCUGGUUAGACUGUAAACUCCUUCCAGACUCAUAUCAAACAUCUCCAAUCCUAAAUUAACUUGUUAUGGCUGCAAUCCCGAUAUCGGGAUAAGUGUCAUCAACAAAAUGCUGAAUAGCAUAGCGCUACAUACAAUAAAUAUUACUAUAAAUAUUUAUAUUCAUGAAAUCACAAGUGCAAUAUAGGAAAACACUGUUUAGCCUUUUGUUAAUCCACCUGUUGUGUCAGAUGUUGAAAUUAUGCUUUACAGCGAAAGCAAUCCAAGCGUUUGUGUAAGUUUAUCGAUCGCACGAUAAAACAUUAAGUACACUUAGCAUCAGGUAGCUCGGUCACGGAAAUCAGAAAAGCAAUCAAAUUAAUUGUUUACCUUUGAUGAUCUUCAGAUGUUUUCACUCACGAGACUCCCAGUUACACAACAAAUGUUCAUUUUGUUCCAUAAAGAUUAUUUUCGCGUUAUGUUCAGAAAUCCACAGGAAAUAGCGGUCACGACAACACAGACGAAAAUUCCAAAUAGUUUCCAUAAUGUCCACAGAAACAUCUCAAACGUUUUUUAUAAUCAAUCCUCAGGUUGUUUUUAAAAUAUAUAAUCGAUAAUAUAUUAACCGCAAAUGUCUUUCACAGUAGGAGAGAGGAAAACAAUGGCUGUCCAAAUUCUGUUGCGCGAGCAAAACUCAUGUGACCACUUGACGCAAUGUUAUCGUUCUGGCUCAUUUUUCCAAAUAAAAGCCUGACACUAUGUCUGAAGACUGUUGACACCUUGAGGAAGCGAUAGGAAAAGGAAUCUGGUUCAUAUCCCUUUAAAUCCAGCAAAGGGAGGCUAUGGAACAUGGAGUUUUCAAAAUAGAAGCCACUUCCUGUUUUGAUUUUCCUCUGGGUUUUGCCUGCAAUAUCAGUUCUGUUAUACUCACAGACAAUAUUUUGACAGGUUUGGAAACUUUAGAGUGUUUUCUAUCAAAUUCUAAUAAUAAUAUGCAUAUAUUAGCAACUGAGACUGAGGAGCUGGCCGUUUACAAUGGGCACCUUUUCAUCCAAGCUACUCAAUACUGCCCCUGCAGCCAUAAAAAGUUAAAUCUAGAAUUGGCUUCCUAUUUCGCAACAAAGCAUCCUUCACUCAUGCUGCCAAACAUACCCUAGUAAAACGGACAAUCCUACCGAUCCUCGUCUUUGGCGAUGUCAUUUACAAAAUAGCCUCCAACAAAUUGGAUGCAGUCUAUCACAGUGCCAUCUGUUCUGUCACCAAAGCCCCAUAUACUACCCACCACUGCGACCUGUACGCUCUCGUUGCCUGGCCCUCACUUCAUACUCGUCGCCAAACCCACUGGCUCCAGGUCAUCUACAAGUAUCUGCUAGGUAAAGCCCCACCUUAUCUCAGCUGACUGGUCACCAUAGCAGCACCCACCCGUAGCACGCGCUACAGAUAUAUCUCACUGGUCACCCCCAUAGCCAAUUCUUCCUUUGGCCGCCUUUCCUUCCAGUUCUCUGCUACCAAUGACAGGAACAAACUACAAAAAUCACUGAAGCUGGAGACUCAUAUCUCCCUCACUCGCUUUAAGCACCAGCUGUCAGAGCAGAUCACUGUACCUGUACAUAGCCCAUCUGUAAAUAGCCCAUCCAACUACCUCAUUCUCAUACUGUAUUUUUUUUUUUUAUCUUGCUCCUUUGCACCCCAAUAUCUCUACUUGCACAUUCAUCUUCUGCACAACUACCAUUCCAGUGUUUAAUUGCUAUAUUGUAAUUACUUCGCCACCAUGGCCUUUUUAUUGCCUGUAUAUAGACUUUUUCUAUUGUAUUAUUGACUGUAUGUUUGUUUAUUCCAUGUGUAACUCUGUGUUGUUGUAUGUGUCGAACUGCUUUGCUUUAUCUUGGCCAGGUCGCAGUUGCAAAUGAGAAAUUGUUCUCAACUAGUCUACCUGGUUAAAUAAAGGUUAAAUAAAAAAAUGAAAAAAUAAAUGUCAAGCAAAGAGGCAUUGAGUUUGAAUGCCUUGAAAUAAAUCCACAGGUACACCUCCAAUUGACUCUUAUAAUGUCAAUUAGUCUAUCAGAAGCUUCUAAAGCCAUGACAUUUUUUUCUGGAAUUUUCCAAGCUGUUUAAAGGCACAGGCAACUUAGUGUAUGUAAACUUCUGACCCACUGGAAAUGUGAUACAGUGAAUUAUAAGUGAAAUAAUCUCUGUAAACAAUUGUUGGAAAAAUGACUUGUGUAUUGCACAAAGGAGAUGUCCUAACCGACUUGCCAAAACUAUAGUUUAACAAGAAAUUUUGGAGUUGAAAAACUAAUUUUAAUGACACCAACCUAAGUGAAUGUAAACAUCAGACUUAAACUUUGUAAAUAUAUAUAUAUAUAUAUAUAUAUAUGACACUGAAUGUACAAAACAUUAGGAACACCUUCCUAAUAUUGAGUUGCACUCCAUUUUGUCCUCAUAAUAGCCUCAAUUCGUCGGGGAUUGGACUCGACAAGGUGUCGAGCGUUUCACAAGGACAAAAAGAGGGUGCAACUUAACAUUAGGAAGGUGUUACUGUUUUGUACCGUCAGUGUAUGACUUUUCUUUCCUAAUUACACUGGACUCCAAGGUCAAAUGUAAAAAUGUUUUAAAAAAUCUGAAUUCCUACUCUCAGAUAACCACAGACUAAGCCACCUUUCCCAAUACACUAACAUUUGACUAUUUCCUUUUGCAUACAUCCUCCUAUUUUACUGUGAUGUUUUAAGAGGGUCUUGAACCUUUCUAUUUGUUCCAUUUCUACCGAGAUUCCCCUAAAAAUAAAUACUUUACCUUAGGGUAUUAUCAUAUUUCCCAUUAAUUGAUCGUGGUUUUUCAAAUCUCCUAACAGUACUGUUUGUAGGUCAAUCUGAGCACAGACUUAUUAACAACCACUUGUGGACCUGACUCCAAAAGCGAGCCACUGAAGGGUAGUACCAAAAGAGAUGAUCUAUUAAUUCUGUUUCUUCGUGGCAGAGUCUGCACAGGACUGACUGUUCAAUGCCCCAUACAUUGAGCAUUCUUUUUGUAGUGAGAAUUUUACAUAAUAACAUUAAAUUAAAAAUAAUGGAUUUAUGCUUCAAUUGUUGUUUUGUAAAUCAGUUCAUAAACCCGAUGCCAUGGUAUUGGGACAUAAAAAAAUCUGUUCCCAAAUAUCUAGAAUUAUAUGCGGUGUAGUUAUCAAACCUCUCGACCUUAAGUGAAACUGAUACUUUUUACUAUUUAUACUAGUCAUUUUAAGCCAUGCAUGGUUUUUCAUUGGUGGCAGACAAACCAAUUCAUUGCUUUAUAUUUUGAGAAAUUGCCUCUUUCAUUUUCGUGGCCGAGCUGCGAUGAGUUCGUUAUACUCCAUACACCUUUGUUAUAUGCUUGUGUGACAUACUUUUAGUGUCCUUAUUUACAAUGUCAAUGUCUUCCCUUAUACAUUUUUUCCAAGAAAAUGUGUAUUUCCUUUAUCAAUACAUUGGAGUUUAGCCUUAUCAUUUGUGAAUAAAAAUAAUAUUAUUAUUCUAUUAAAGACACUUUUGUGAGGGUCCCCUACCAGAAAUGUACAUGCUAAAAACGUAUGAAUAUACAUUCAUUUCACAAUAACAAAAUGUAUUGUAACACAAAUCGAAUUGUAACAUAAAAAAUGAUUUCAUAAACACCUUAAAAGGUUGUUUGGAGUGCCUUUGUAGUUCCAAAACACAUUACAAAUGCAUAGGAAACAGGUAAUCAAGUAAUUUCACAUGAGAUGGAACAUGUUAGAAUUGCAAACAGAAUGUGUUUAUUUUGUGUAAGAUUCCAGUGGGUAACUGGUGCUUUAGGUGGUAAUAUUUCCAGUACGGUAACUGGUGCUUUAGGCUGUGAUAUUUCCAGUCGGUUAACUGGUGCUUUAGGUGGUGAUAUUUCCAGUACGGUAACUGGUGCUUUAGGUGGUAAUAUUUCCAGUACGGUAACUGGUGCUUUAGGCUGUGAUAUUUCCAGUCGGUUAACUGGUGCUUUAGGUGGUGAUAUUUCCAGUACGGUAACUGGUGCUUUAGGUGGUGAUAUUUCCAGUACGGUAACUGUUGCUUUAGGUGGUGAUAUUUCCAGUAGGGUAACUGGUGCUUUAGGUGGUGAUAUUUCCAAUAGGGUAACUGGUGCUUUAGGUGGUGAUAUUUCCAGUAUUGUAACUGGUGCUUUAGGUGGUGGUAUUUCCAGUAGGUAACUGAUGCUUUAGGUGGUGGUAUUUCCAGUAGGGGUAACUGGUGCUUUAGGUGGUGAUAUUUCCAGUAGGGUAACUGGUGCUUUAGGUGGUGAUAUUUCUGUGUUUCCUUGGCUGUUCAUCCAAUGACAUCUUCUUGAUCCCGAUUACAUCAUUCUACCUAAUAGUUUUUUUUAUUCACCCAAAUUCUGAUGAACUUGCAUGCAGCCUUG
ensembl:lncRNA